GGCGGUAACCCUUCUGAGCUAGACAGAGAGGGUCACAGGUGUGGUGGUGGUGUAAGGUGUGAUGAGUGCUGUAGCGAACAUCUAGCACUUUAGGUUAACCACGUACACCUGAGACAGGGCCCAUCUGUCGCGACACAAGGCCUACUCGCAUUUGCAGUAGCCCUUGUUGUUUUGUCUAUCACUCCUGAGCUA
rnacentral:siRNA from 1 species